UGGGGAAUUUUGCACAAUGGGGGAAACCCUGAUGCAGCGACGCCGCGUGAUUUAGAAGGCCUUCGGGUUGUAAAAAUCUUUUGUAUAGGAAGAAAAUGACAGUACUAUACGAAUAAGGUCCGGCUAAUUACGUGCCAGCAGCCGCGGUAAUACGUAAGGACCGAGCGUUGUCCGGAAUCAUUGGGCGUAAAGGGUACGUAGGCGGGUCAUUAAGUUAGAAGUCAAAGGCUAUAGCUCAACUAUAGUAAGCUUCUAAAACUGGAGACCUUGAGUAAUGGAAGGGAAAGUGGAAUUCCUAGUGUAGCGGUGGAAUGCGCAGAUAUUAGGAGGAAUACCGGUGGCGAAGGCGACUUUCUGGCCAUUAACUGACGCUGAGGUACGAAAGCGUGGGUAGCAAACAGG
rnacentral:rRNA from 2 species